CAAGAAUGAUAAAUGAGGUUCAAUGUGUGUUCGGUUUCCACUUCACCACACUGGAAAUUUCCACUACCACCAAUAUUGUAAACAUUCUUCUAUGGUCUGAAACACAGAAGAAUGUCAACAGCGUGACACAACACGUUAAACAGCUCCUCCCCUUAUGGCCUGUUCAGGUAUAAAGACGUCACACCCAUAGCCACUGUGCAGCCAGUCUCAUUGAGUGCCCCGAGGGGACGGGCUGCGCCGCACGUUUUGAAGACAUUGUGGUGCCGAGGCGGUUUUGGUCGUGUGUGGGUGUGUGAGACAGACACGCUGGAAUGUAAACCAGAAACUGGAGGGUCUGAAGCCGGAAAAAUGUAACUGAACGCAUGAUCCACCAAGGGAUGUGUGGUUGCCAGAUGUGUGGUUGACGUCGUUCCUUCAAUCAAGUUUGAGGUAUUGUGACGAUGUCAAACGGAUGCAGGACAAAUGCAGGGAGAACUGAGGACAUUUAAUAAAUGAAACAGAACUGACAGGAACAAAACAGAAUAUUGGAUAAAAGAACUGGGAUAGACAGGAACAAAAUUAAACACAGAAUAGUAUGGAACAACGCUACAUGUGGUAAAACCUAUAUAAUGUAUUGAGGUUAAAUACUUUUUAUUUUUUUAUGUAAAAAAUUUCGUAUAUGGAAAUUGUAUUUUGUUGCUAAAGACUUGGGCCCCCGAUCAGACGUCAUGUAAUAUCAAAGUGAUCAGUCUUUUUUUUUCUCAACCAGAAGGCAUGAAAGGUAGCUAAAACUUUCUAGUAAACUUUUAAGAGAAGACUACGAGCUGUUAUUAGUAAGAACUAAAUAAUAAAUUGGUCAACAAUCGGGGAUGGUGGCCGAUUAUAGAGGAUCAUAUAGUUUAGCUACAUCACUAACCAAUGAGCUGAAAAUAUGAAUAUUUCCACUGACAUUUCAGAAAUGCUAAUUAAUUACAUGCUAGUUAACAUUUGUGUGUCUCUAAUAAUCACUAAACAUUGACGACUUGAUCAAAUUAUUACUCGGUACAAGAAGAUAUACUUCAAAACUGCUUUUGGGUAUGCGCAUAAUAGGGGGUUCUUUGCUACACAACCAUCUUGUCUUUGAUGACAAUGCAAAAACACUCUUAAAGUGAGUUUCAAGAUUUUAGCAGUCUCGCAUAGCCACAUAAAUGACAGUAAGCAAAAGCCUUUGAAAAGUCAAUAAACAAAGUUAAACAAUUAGAUUUUUCAUUCAGUGCUGUAGCAAUAUCAUUCCUAACCAAUGUAGUGACGGUAAUAGUACUGUGCCCAUGUCUAAAACCAGAUUGAUUUUUAUUCAGAAUUCCGCUAAAAAAUAACUGUAUUCUAAACAAAGACAGAUUUUGGUAGGCAUGAUAAAUCAGAAAUCUAGUAGUAACUAGUAACACAAGCAUUAUCUAGUGGCAGCACAUGGGUGGUUUUACACACUUUGGAAUAACUCCAGAAAUUAAUGUUGGAUUAAAAAUUCCAAAAAUAAGAGGAGCAGCACUGACCACCAGACCUGGUUAAAGUUUGUUGGCCCCUGUGUCUUUCUUGGUGUUGAUAGCUUACAAAGCAUUUAAGAUGUAUUUUACCGUGAAUGGAGUUGGUAAAAAAUAUUGGUAAUCAACAUCUAAUUGGCCCUGCAUGAAUGUUUGAUUCUCUUCACUUCCUUUUUGGUUUCCAUUUGGGGUGGUAAUGGCAGUUUUCUGAAAUAGAGAGUUUGCUACAUUGAAGUGGUGAUUGAAGGCAAUAUUUCUUAUAAGUAAUGAGCACAAGUCCACAAGAAUCUGUUUUGGCAAUGAGGCAGUGAAUAUCCUUGAACAAAUACAUUAGCCACAUGUGAAGAUAACAAAGAUAACAAAAUAUCUGAGAGAGAGAUUUCUGACAGUUCACAACUCUAUUAUAUUAGAGGAUCUAUUUGCCUUAAAGAAUAUGACAAUCAACAUCAUCCCCAUAUGCUUCAACAGCAGAUGGGAUUCACUUGAAUCCUGUUUAUGUAGCCUAAUUCUGCUCAUAUACCAGUGUUAGAAUCAGUGUGCUAAAUAAAACAACAAUCAGUAUCUUACCAAAAGAAGGGUUGGAGACCACAGAGGAGACCACUGAUUUCUAUUCAAUUAAAUGUCUUAAAUAAGCAUAAAUUAACAAACACUUUAACUGACAAUUUAGUGGAUAAUGUUCUGGUCAGUAUGUUAGUAUUUAUUUUGCA